GUCUCAGUCUUUAAAGGGACAUUCUACCAGUGGAGACAUGAAUAUGUAUUGAAAGUGGGUCAUAUAUGUAGUAGAAUAGUAGCAUAAAUUUCUAAUUUGGUGCCUUCUUGACCGAGAAAAGGCAGAAAAUGACUUUUUAGUGCAUGUGGAUUGCAGACAACAAUCCCCAUAGUGCAUUGCAAUGCUCAAGCUCCGCAGGCCACUCCCACUGUCGAACUCAAUUGUUCAACUCCGCCCAUAAUCUGUCAACCAAGGCUCGAGCGUUGAGCUCAACUCUACGCUACCUGGAAAUCAUUUCACACAAUUUCUAGUGAAGAGUUAGUUUGCGAACUCAUUAGUGAAUUACUCCUCGUUUGUGUUUCGAAAUGGUGUGCACUUGCAUGGUAGCGGGAUGUUUAGCCAGCACAAGGAAAAUACACGGAGUACAUUUUCAUAGAUUACCCAAAGAGUUGGAGUUGUGCAAAAAGUGGCUACGGGCUAUCAAUAACCCGAAGUUCGGACAGGACACAGCCAUUGAAGCACUAAAACAUCUGACGGUGUGCAGUCUACAUUUCAAGGCAGAAGACUUCGAACCCAACCCCUUAGGAGUGAAGAGACCCGCACUUGUGAAAACCGCAAUUCCGUCGAUAUUUACCUUACCAGAUGAUGUCGACGAACAGCCAGGAACUUCUGAAACUAGCAGUGCUAGCUGCACUAAACGCAUUUGCCUGGAGUCACCAUGCCCAAGUACACCUGGUCUUGAUACCAGUGCCAGCACCCUUGAAGUUGGUGAAACAGAUGAAAGGCACUACAAAACAGGUGGAAGUGCAUUCCACACCAUGUGGUCAAUGAACACCGAUGGACUGACAUGGAUGGAAAGCGGCAUCACUGUGACCAUGCUCCUCUAACAGCUGAGGAGCAGAAAAAGAGGAUGUGGCUGAAGAAGGACUCGGUGGCAUAUCAGGACCUGACGUCGCUCGUCUUUGAUAAAAGGCUUUUGAAAGAUCUUCAGAAGAUGGCCCUCUUCAAACAUACUGGGCCACUGGAGAUUGUUCACAGAGGGGCGGGAUUUAGAGAGUGUCCAAUAACACCCCACCACCAAUACUGGUGCAGCCAAAGCGAGGGACCACUCACAUCAAGUGGGUGAAACUAACGAGGGUUACAAAUGGAUAGUCAAGAAAAUCUAUAAGCCACACACCACCAAGUUCAUCCAGACACUAAUUGAGAAGGUCAUAGAAAACAGACGCAACCCAAUUAUAACAUUCAAGGACUCAACCGCCUCACUCACCCAACCACAACCUCCUUUGCCACCUAACAUUGCCCCUGUCCCAAAGCCGCCAAAGAAAGCUGCCAACAUCAUCAUUCAAGAGCCGCUUCUGAGACGUCAGCUCUACAUUAACCCAUUCCUCACAAAUCCGCAACCUUAUCCUUGCACUGCCUUACCUGUUUGCACUGCCAUUGUGCACCUUACUAUCCAUCAGUGUUUCUCAAACUUUUUUUCUGGGGACCCACUUUUUAAAAAUGACAGACUAUCGCGA